UGGGACAGACCCCUGCCUGAACCUUUUGGAUGCAGAGAAACAAUCGCUGCAUCCAUUAGGGUUUUUGAGCAGCCUUCUUUGCUCCUUAAACUGCAAGAGUAUUAUUAUACCUGAAUUGCCUUGGUUUCCUGAAAAAACACAUCCAGAUCAUUCAGAAGCUGAAGUGGCACCAGUAAUAUCCUCCAACCCUGUUCUGUGGAGAAAGAUUCAUGGACUGCCUAUUUGCUUGCCUCAUCCCAUUAACUCCCUAACUGUCCAG
rnacentral:lncRNA from 1 species